rnacentral:lncRNA from 1 species
AAGAUUAACUCUGAAUGUGGAGAGAUUAUUUUCUUGCUCGUAAACCUAGUUUACAUAUUUUCAUUCUUAAUGCUCAGUAAUGUUAAGGAAAGUCACGUGAAAGAAUACUAACUUUUUCACCAAGUACUCUUCUGCGCCUCUUGAAAGGUGUCUGUGUGCUUGUGAAGCGCUCCCUUGUUAGUUCCUUCUGUGAGACUCGGGGGAGACUGGAGAGGGAAAUCACCUGCGGGAAAUGAACAGGAAAGCAAUAAGAAGAUUUGGAAAAGAGGCACUGGCUACUGGAGGAAGGGAGAAAUCACCAAGAGAGCGAAAGAUGUAACAGUGACUCAUGCCUAUAAUCCCAGUACUUUGGAAGGUCAAGGCGG